UACGUAGGCAGCAAGCGUUGUUCGGAAUUACUGGGCGUAAAGCGUGUGUAGGCGGUUGGGUAAGUCUGGUGUGAAAUCUCCCGGCUCAACUGGGAGGGUGCGCCGGAAACUGCCUGGCUAGAGUGCGGAAGAGGAGAGUGGAAUUCCAGGUGUAGCGGUGAAAUGCGUAGAUAUCUGGAGGAACACCGGUGGCGAAGGCGGCAUCCUGGACCAAUAUUGACGCUGAGGAGCGAAAGCCAGGGGAGCAAACGGG
rnacentral:rRNA from 1 species